CCUACGGGCGGCAGCAGUGAGGAAUAUUGGACAAUGGUCGGAAGACUGAUCCAGCCAUGCCGCGUGCAGGAUGACGGUCCUAUGGAUUGUAAACUGCUUUUGUAAGGGAAGAAUAAGGAGUACGCGUACUUUGAUGACGGUACCUUAUGAAUAAGCAUCGGCUAACUCCGUGCCAGCAGCCGCGGUAAUACGGAGGAUGCGAGCGUUAUCCGGAAUCAUUGGGUUUAAAGGGUCUGUAGGCGGGCAAAUAAGUCAGAGGUGAAAGCGCUUAGCUCAACUAAGCAACUGCCUUUGAAACUGUUAGUCUUGAAUUAUUGUGAAGUAGUUGGAAUGUGUAGUGUAGCGGUGAAAUGCUUAGAUAUUACACAGAACACCGAUAGCGAAGGCAUAUUACUAACGAUAUAUUGACGCUGAUGGACGAAAGCGUGGGGAGCGAACAGGAUUAGAUACCCCAGUAGUC
rnacentral:rRNA from 1 species